rnacentral:tRNA from 1 species
UCCCAUAUAGUCCAGUGGUUAGGAUUUGGCGCUUUCACCGCCACGGCCCGGGUUCAAUUCCUGGUGUGGGAA